UUGGCAGUAAGAUUUUUGGUG
rnacentral:miRNA from 1 species